ACAGCAGUAGCCGCGGGAAUACAGAGGGUGCGAGCGUUAAUCGGAUUUACUGGGCGUGAAGCGUGCGUAGGCGGCUUCUUAAGUCGGAUGUGAAAUCCCUGAGCUUAACUUAGGAAUUGCAUUCGAUACUGGGAAGCUAGAGUAUGGGAGAGGAUGGUAGAAUUCCAGGUGUAGCGGUGAAAUGCGUAGAGAUCUGGAGGAAUACCGAUGGCGAAGGCAGCCAUCUGGCCUAAUACUGACGCUGAGGUACGAAAGCAUGGGGAGCAAACAGGAUUAGAUACCCGUGUAGUCCCUGUCUCUUAUAA
rnacentral:rRNA from 1 species